GUCGAUCGAUCGCUGCGCCAUCCGUCCCUCGAUGUGGCGAUCGGUUCACAGGCACGUCCUGCGGAGGCGCGCCGUCCGGUCCCAGGGCGGCGCGUC
rnacentral:sRNA from 1 species